UGUCAAUGGAAAUCUGAAAAGCAGGAAUUGAAAAUGCAAGAGUUAUGAGAGAUAAUUCUUGGAGGUCUGUUCUGUCUCCAUCUCUAAAAGCAAAAUGUGAUGAGACAGGAACAUCGCCCUUGGAAGUAGAAAACGGACUCUUCCAAUAUUGUAACUUGUGGGGGUGUUUGAUAUUAUGUAAUAGUCCAGGAGUUGAUCCAUGGUCAUUUCUACUUGACUAAACUCCACAAAUACUUAUGUAUUUGUACAUGCAACAAUAUAACAUACAACAUAAUACAUAAAAUAAGACAUCUCAUUAUAUGUCAAAAUUUAUGAAAUAAACAUAUAAUAUUAAAAUCUGAAACUAACCUAUACAAUAAUGGACUAGUUCAGUCCACUAUA